rnacentral:rRNA from 1 species
AGACGUCUACAUUAGAUACCCCUGUAGUCCCAGCCGUAAACUAUGCGCGUUAGGUGUAUCGGUGACCACGAGUUACCGAGGUGCCGAAGGGAAACCGUGAAACGUGCCGCCUGGGAAGUACGGUCGCAAGGCUGAAACUUAAAGGAAUUGGCAGGGGAGCACAACAACGGGUGGAGCCUGCGGUUUAAUUGGACUCAACGCCGGACAACUCACCGGGAACGACAGCAAUAUGUAGGCCAGGCUGAAGACCUUGCCUGAAUCGCUG